UUACGGCCAUAUCACGUUGAAACACCGGAUCCUGUACGAUCACAGAAGUUAAGCAACGUUGUGCCUGGUCAGUAACUAGAUGGCUGACAGCUUGGGAAUACCAAGUGUUGUUA